CAAUGGCGUAUAUUAAAGUUGUUGCGGUUAAAAAGCUCGUAGUUGGAUUUCUGCUGAGAACGACCGGUCCGCCCUUUGGGUGUGUAUCUGGCUCUUUCUUGGCAUCUUCUUGGUGAACGUUGCUGCACUUGACUGUGUGGAGCGCUACCCAGGACUUUUACUUUGAGGAAAUUAGAGUGUUUCAAGCAGGCAUACGCCUUGAAUACAUUAGCAUGGAAUAAUAAGAUAGGACUUUGGUACUAUUUUGUUGGUUUGCGCACCAAAGUAAUGAUUAAUAGGGACAGUUGGGGGUAUUCGUAUUCCGUUGUCAGAGGUGAAAUUCUUGGAUUUACGGAAGACGAACUACUGCGAAAGCAUUUACCAAGGAUGUUUNCAUUAA
rnacentral:rRNA from 1 species